rnacentral:lncRNA from 10 species
GUCAAAUAAAAAAACAGACCCAGAUUUGAUAAAGAGAGAUUUUAUUUAAAAGGAUGAUUUUGGGGUGGGGUGAGGGUGGUAAGACUCUGUAAACAGGGAGAACACUCAGGCCAUAAAUCUACAAACUCUCAAGGGGUAGGCAAAAAGGGAUUUUCUUUUAUAGGAAGGAGUAAACCAGUCUAGAAAGAACCUGGUGUAGGUAAGUGGGAUGAACGAGAGUGACAGGGUGGGGCAGUAGAUCAGAGAUUGCUUUAUCCUGAGGCCAGCCUGUUCUCAAGGGGGCUGUUACAGAGGGAUUUCAUGCUGGUUUAGGCUGAGGGUGGGCCAAAAUUCAGAGGCCUUGGGGAAGGACAAAAGCUUAACCAAAGUUUCAUUAAUGAGCAUUUUUUUCCAGCUGAUCAAUGGGCCAAGCAUUUCAGCUAGUCACUUAUGAGGCAAAUGGGAAUUGGGGCUAUCUGUAUCCGGUCUAGUAACAGGGUAUAGUGGGGAAUCGCCAUAGAGGGGAAUCCAUGAGUUUUAUCUCAGUCAUUGCAGUGAGCCAUUUCCAGAACCCGAGAGACGGGGUUGAGGUGGGGUUAGGGGGUAAGGGGUUAAUCAUUGCUGUUCUCUAGGAGCACAGUGCUUAGGUAAAACUCAACAUUGUCAUAAAUAGUUUUUUCAUGUACUUUAAAAAUGAAGGCCGGGCGCUGUGGCUCACGCCUGUAAUUCCAACACUUUGGGAGGCCAAGGCGGGUGAAUCACCUGAGGUCUCAAGUUUGAGACCAGCCUGGCCAACAUGGUGAAAUCCUGUCUCUACUAAAACACAAAAAUUACCUAGGUAUGGUCGUGGGCACCUAUAAUCCCAGCUACUCAGGAGGCUGAGGCAUGAGAAUCUCCUGCACCCCGGAGAUAGAGGUUGCAGCGAGCCAAGAUUGCACCACUGCCCUCCAGCCUGGGCAACAGUGCAAGACUCUGUCUCAAUAAAUAAAUAAAGAAGCUAGGCAAGGUGGCACAUGCCUGUAGUCCCAGCUACUUUGGAGGCUGAGGUGGGAGGAUCACUUGAGAAGGGCAGGAGUUUGAGACCACAGUGCACUAUGAUUGUGUUACCCUCCAGCCUGGGCAACAUAGUGAGACCCCACCUCUACAAAAAAUAAAUAAAUGAAAAUGAAUAAUAUUUGUAUCAAAUCAUUAUGAUAUUUAGACUCCAUUGCGUUCAUUUAAUGACGUCUUUUUAAGAUGUCCAUAUUAACAGAUGCUCUGUGACUUAACAAUGAGGCCAUGUCCGGAUAAACCCACUAUAAUUCACAAGUUGAAAAUGCACUUAAUACAUCUAACCUACCAAACGUCUAUAGCUUAGCCUGACAUACCUUAGAUGUACUUACAACAUUUACAUUGGCCUACAGUUGGGCAAAAUCAUCUAACACAAAUGUUAUAAUAAAGUACUGAACAUGUCACAUAAUUUAUUCACGACUGUACUGAAAAUAAAAAACAGAAUGUAUGGACACUUGAAGUAAGGUUUCUACUAAAUGUGUAUUGCUUUUGCACUAUUGUAAAGUUGAAAAAUGUUAAAUUGAGCCAUUGUAGGUCAGGGACCAUCUAUACUUACAUUUAUCAUAAAAAAAUUGCUAAGUAAAAAAACUUGAUGUCCCAGGUAUUCAGUAAGGGUGGUCUCACACUGUCAUCUUGACUGUGGAUGGUAAUACCCAUACCCCUUCUUUCUUAGGGAAACCACUAAACUCACCCUCCAACUUCUGCUAGCUGUGUGACUUUUGGCAAGGCUCUUGACCUUGCUGAACCAAGUCAAGUGCCUUGCCAGAGGUCACACAGCUAGCAACCGGAAGAGGUAGAAUGAGCUCAGCUAAUGGUUGCAUUUUUAGCAUUCCCUAAAUGAGUACGAUCCCCAACCCCCAACUUUAGUUUGUAAUAUGCUUUAGUCUCCUCUGCUGUAUGGAUGGAGGAGGGUGGGAAUAUACUUAGGAAUAGGGAGGGCAUUUGGAUUUGUUGCUUGAAAAUUAAUCUCCACUGAAAGUGUCAUCACUGUAACUUGGUGCUCACCUUAGGGCAAGGUACCCCCCAGGCAGAGGGAUCCCAGGCAGAAAGGCUGGGAGGCCAGGCAAGGUGGCUGAUGCCUAUACUCCCAGCACUUUGGGAGACCGAGGUGGGCAGAUCCCCUGACGUCACGAGUUCGAGACCAGCCUGACCAACAUAGCAAACCCCUCUCUCUACCAAAAAUACAAAAAAUUAGCUGAGUUGGUGGCAUUCACCUGUAAUCCCAGCUAGUCGGGAGGCUGAGGCACAAGAAUCACUUGAACCCAGGAGGUGGAGGUUGCAGUGAGUCAGGACUGUACCACUGCACUCCAGCCUGGGACAGAGUGAGACUCUGUCUCAAAAAUAAAUAAAUAAAUAAAUAAAUAAAUAAAUAAAUAAAUAAAUAAAAGGCUGGGAAAUGCUUUUUCUGAUCACUAAUUCUAAUUGUAUUCCUGCCACAGUGGGGGAUGGUCCCCAAGCACUGGGCUUUUUUCCCUUGGCCACACCUCUGGAUGUAGCAGCACAGAGGCAGGUACUGGGACCAAGAAAUUCCAUACACACAAGUCCACUCCCUCAGCUGUGGAGCAGGCACCAGACAAGCUCCGAGGUCAGGUGUGUCCCCCCUGCUGCCAGGUACACUGAACAUCCGGGAACCUCGGUCUCCAGUGCAUACCUCUCGGUGCCCGCAUACACUGUGGCUGUCGGGCCACAGACAAUGAGGCCCUGAGCCCCAGGAUGUGGAGUCACAAGGUGCCUCCAUUAUAGGUGCCCCAAAGUGAUUGUUGGGGGAAUUAGUAAUUAAGGAGGGUUUUUCUCCCCCUGCCCUUCAGGUAGUGGUAUGGAAGCAGUCCACUGCUCCCUGAAAACAGAGACCCUGCCCCACUUCCCUGCUCACACCAUAGUUUGUCCAUGUUUCUGGAAGAGUCUGCCGAUGGGUGUUUAGGGUGGUGACCUGAGAUGUUUUCUAGGAAACACAAAAGAUACAAAAAAGAACACGUGGAAGGAUAGCCAAAAAGGGGGGCUGCCCCCAUUUCCUGCACCCCGC